UCCGAGUUGACCCCGGCAGUCUUCUACGAGUCCCCGGCAUAAUCCGCUGGCAACAUAGAAUAAGGGUUGCGCUCGUUGCGGGACUUAACCCAACAUCUCACGACACGGGCUGACGACAGCCAUGCAGCAUCUGUGCACCUCCCUCGAAGGCGACUCCGUUUCCGGAGCUUGCAGGUGCAUGUCAAGUCUGGGUAAGGUUCUGCGCGUUGCGUCGAAUUAAACCACACGCUCCGCUGCUUGUGCGGGCCCCCGUCAAUUCCUUUGAGUUUUAAGCUUGCGCUCGUAGUCCCCAGGCGGCCGACUUACCGCGUAAGCUGGGCACCCAGCGUCCUUAUCGGACCCCGGAUACCGAGUCGGCAUCGUUUACGGCGUGGACUAC
rnacentral:misc_RNA from 1 species